GUAAUUCUCUGGUUGGGUUUAGUACUUUAUCAAUAAGUAUAUUGCUACUGUUCCCAAAAUGCUUAGAUUAGUGAAGUAUUUUUAUGCUUUUAAAAUAAAAAAUAGAUUUUAUAUGUAUUGACAAACUCCUAAUGUUUCUGUCUGGCUUGUGAUUUAAAUGCUAUUUUAUUCUUAUUUACAGAAGAUUUCUCUUUAACCAGGAGCCAUGUCGACUCCCAGAGGACAGGGUCAGGAUAACCUCAACCAACAAUCAACCUCAACAAAUGAUGAAAACGAAGCCAAGGAAGAUCUGAGAUCUUCGAGUUAUCUCCUUACACACGACUCUGUGGAAGUGCAGUCUGAAAUCUGUCCACUUCCAGCAGAAAACGAAGGAAUUCCAGACUCUCAGUCGCUGGAGAAACUGGGAGAAACUGAGCUGAACGCUCAUGUUAGCAUGUCUAUUGAACAUUUUGUGGUUGAAUCUGGAAGCUCUGAGGUCCAGAACUUGUUGGCCCAAAGUUCUGAGUCAUCGUUCUCUAAACUUAAAGCUGGCACUGAUGCCCAAAGCGAAAACUCUUCUCCACGACACGCUCAAGAGACAUGCAACCAGCAGUCAUCCUCCUCUCCUAGUGAAGAAAACCGUGUGCCGACCCGAAACAACGAAUCGUCUCAACCGCAAACUUCUGUUCCCACGGCUAAUGAAGGUUUUGGGCCAGAAUCUGCAAACACCAGUGCCCAAAAUGAGCCUGCCCAAAACUUUGAAUUAUCUCGUUCCCAAGUUGCUGUUGGAACAGCUACUCAGGAUUUUGGGCCUGAAUUGGGAAGGACCAGUGCCCGAAACACUGAAUCAUCAUCAUCAUCAUCAUCGUACGUGAAUCAUGAGAGUUUUGGGCCUGAAUCUGGAAAAAUUUUGGCCCAAAAUACCAAACUAUCUCAUUCCCAAGCUGAUGUUGCAAUAGCUACAGAGAACUGUGUGCAAGAACCGGCAAAUACCAGUGCGCAAAAUGUUCCGGCCCAAAACUCUGAAUCCUUUAAAGUCCUGAGCGCUGAGCUGAGUUUGCAGGUCCCUCAGGCUGCUGUGGAGCUGGAGGCCAGCGGGGUUCGGGACAGUGCUCUGGGUCUGAGUGGAGUCCACUCUGGUUCUGAAGUGCUUCGGGCCGAGAGUGUUCAGGAGUGUCUCUGUGAUGCUGUUCCUCUACACAGUCAGCUGUGGAGCGCUCUGACCCUGCAAGACCCGUCAACUCCCAGAAACAAAGCUCUCAACAGCAGCGCCCUGCAGGUAAGAGCUGAGGAUAAGAACUCAGAUCUAUAUCAGAAUUU
rnacentral:lncRNA from 1 species